UGGCGGUGAUGACAAUCUUAGGACACCUUUGGAAUAACAAUGAAAGCAAUCAUCGACUGAGCCGU